rnacentral:rRNA from 1 species
UACGUAGGUGGCAAGCGUUGUCCGGAUUUAUUGGGUUUAAAGGGUGCGUAGGCGGCCCUGUAAGUCAGUGGUGAAAUACUCUAGCUUAACUAGAGGGGUGCCAAUGAUACUGCAGGGCUUGAGUACAGAUGAGGUAGGCGGAAUUGACGGUGUAGCGGUGAAAUGCAUAGAUAUCGUAAGGAAGACCAGUGGCGAAGGCGGGUCUCUGGACAGUUCC